AGACGAUCGACUAGAGCGGCCCAUGUAGUUCAAAGGUAUGAUCCAGAAACAAGAUCACUGGAUCUGCUGAGAGAAAGAAGAUGGGCUGAAUCUGAACGCAUCAGGAAAAGGAAAUAUCGCUAAAUAUGAAUCUGGACGUUCGACUACCAAAUUAUGAUGUGCCUCAAGAACAGCUAAGAUCAUUUUAAAAAAUAAUUAUUAUUAAAAAAUAGCCCAGAAUUUUUUAUGUUGAGUGCAGAAUCACCAAAAAAGAAUUUUUGUUUUGUUUUUUGAAUUCAAUGAAAUGGUAUAUCCUUAUGGAAAAAUUUGCAUUUCACAAAUAUUGCGAUGCAUUACUGUGUUAAAAAUGAAUUUCUUUGAAUCUUUUUUUUCUUCUUAAAUGCGUCUAGUUUACGGAUUUGGCAAUUUUUUAAAAUCAACUAUUCUCACAACGAUUUUAAUGAACGGUUAACUUAUAUAGUUUCUUAAUGAAGCUCCUACAGAAGUACUACAGAAGAAAUGCUAUUAAUACACAUUGAAUUUCAGUCUUGCAGAUUAAUACGUCUUUUAUUACAAUAAUAAUGAAAGAAACAAUUGGAAGAAGGUUAAAAAAAAUGUUGUUUGCUAAAUCGGAAUUUGUCUAAGAGCACUUUAACAAUAAACUUAACUAAAUUAUUUAUUUUAAAUGAACAAUAUGUAUUUAUAUCAGGGUAUUACUCUUAGCAAGAGCCACACAUUUUUGGAGAACAAAGCUACGCAGAUUACAUUUUUUUUCUUGUCAUUCCAGUUAGAUCAUCAAAGAAAAGUAUAAAUGUUGGCUCGUUUAUGCAUCGCAUGAAUCAUUUUUAAACGCUUUUUUUUUUACUUGGCUUAAAUUUACCAAAAAUGGAUCCUUUUUCGAAUACAACUAGCUAAAAAUUUAAAGUUUUUUUUUUUUUAAUAUUUCAUAGAAUUGAUAAACAACGUGAUGUAGAAAAAGCAUACACAAUUUCAAUAAGAUUGGUGCAUUAUUUUUUGAGAAAUCUCGAGUCUGUAGCAAGGAUAUAAUUUUGUAAGGCGGUCUUCGAAAAUCAGUUCGCAAAUCAAAAUUAACAGACCGCAUUUUUUGAUGGAAACUUCACGAAAUUCGGCUAUCACUAUUGCGUGACUCUUUUUAAACUCUGGAAAUCCGAGUGCUCGCUUAUGAGGACACAUAUAUGAUAAUUAUGGACACGUAUGAUGUAGAUUUACACGCAUUUUUUAUGAUAGAAAUUCCAUGAACAGAAGAAAUAAUUAAGGCCGAUGAAUAUCUUCUCUUCCAAAUAACGUGCCCAAUUAAAAAUACAUAAAUAAAAAUUAUAUAGUACUAAAAUUAAAAUUUUUGUUGAUAGCACAAAAUUUAUCGUUUUUUUUUUUAAUUGAUUAGUUCAAUAUAUCCACAUUAUCUUUGAGUGUCCAGCAAUGAGUGAUAAUCUGAGAAAAAUAUGAGUUUUGCCGUCAUUGAUUGACCUUUAUGACGAUAACAUCAAGCAAAUCGCAGAAGCAGUAAUCAAGACUCAUGGAAACAUAUUCGCCAUAUUGAUUCGGCUAUGUCAUAGACACGACAAAAAAAAAAUAGAUCUACGCCCCCUCCCCCCGAUUGUCAUGAAAUGACAACGGCUUUGAGAGACCUUUUGUCGAGACGAAAAUAUCUGAAAGGAUAAAUAAUUAAAAACAGCAAGUUGACUUGAUGAAUACAUAAGUAUUUGGCUACUUCAAACUAAUCAUUUUAUAUUUAAACUACAAGAAAGUUAAGAGAAAUUGCACAGGAGAUCUUAUACUGAUUUUCACAAUUUUUUGUUGAAAGGUACUAUAAAUUUAUCAAUCAUACUUAAGCGUCUGAAUUUUUUUUUUCUUUGUUUUAAUAUUUAUAUAGUUCUUUUAAGUGAUUUCUAGGGGAGAGUUCAAAAACAUAGUAUUUAAAUUUCAAGUAUCUGGCAGACAAAACGGAAUAGAUUGCGACGAAUAGAUAAGAUUGUUGUUGUUUAGAUGAAAGACUGCUUCUAACCAACGUAUUUUUUUUCCAUUCAUUAUUUUAGUAUUACGUUAUUCCAAACGUUUUUUCGCAUACUUUAUUGUAAACGUUAACUUAAUAAAAUGUUCUUACCAUAAAAUGACUUCACAUUGUAACAGCCACUUUCAGAGGAACUACAGGGGAUAUUAUAUGGAGCGCCGAUUAUACACAAAUGCCUAUCCAUCUAUCUUUUUUUAUAUAAAAAGUGUUCAAAAGUCAAGUAGAUUUAAGUUAAUAAUUAAUGGUUUAUUAACGUUUGACGAAUAAUUUAAAACGUUCAUUACGUCUCUGAAAAUAUAACUCAUUAAUCAACAGUGAAUAUAUAUUUAUUUAUCGUUUUUAUACUGUUCGACUUAUCUACUUUACCUCUGAAUGCUUCAUACAUCUAUCAAGCUAUCUCUGUCAAUAUACAUUUCUAUCUAUGUACGCAAUCGAUGCUCUACACAACAACCCAUGUAGUUAUCAUGCUCGUAAAUAGUUACUCCGUACUAGUAAGUACUGGACAAAGUUCGAAAAAAAACCUUCUUCAAAGAAAAUGGAAAAGUUACCGAAUAGUAAAUAUUAACGAGGCGCUUUUUUUCCCUCUAUAAUUUUAUAUCAAUGCCAGUGACAUUGUAAUCAAAACAAUGCGUCGGUUAGAAGUAAUCAUUUUCACUCGAAUUCAUUUCAACAUUUUUACUCGAAAAUUGAAAAAUCGAAUAAUACUAGGUGAAUAACUCUCCUAAUAACUCAUCAGUUACAAAGACGGAUGUUAAUACACACAGAAAAUGUUUAUCAAGUGAAUAACACGUGUUCGUUAAACCGCAGGAUUCGCCAUAUCGAGCGUCAACUGUAUGUAUACAUGUCUAUCUAUCCAUCUAGCUAUCUAUCGAUCUAUCUUUAAAUAUGGGUGUUCAUAGUUAAAGAAGAUUGAGUCCAAAAAUGAUAGUUUAAAAAAUAACCUAUUAUGAAUAUCAUUUGAAUUCUACGGGAUUUUAAAAUAGAGUAGUUCAUUUGAUAAUAUAACUUGUUUCUUAACUAUCAGAAAUACUUUCAUCAAUAAAGGUAUUAUUACGUAACUUUGCACUUUUGGACCUUAUUUACUUCAGCUCUGAACGCUUCAUAUAGGUAUCUAGCUAAUUUUCCAAUGUAUUUGCAUACGUUUCUGUCUAUAUGCAUACAGUCAACGCUCAAUAUAAUGAUCAUCUAGUUAUUUAUUCAUAAAUACCAUAAACUAACGGAUUGACUUUCUAGUGCCAGAAGAAAUAUUUUAGCUUUGUUCUUAUGUUCAUAAAUGUAUACAAAUGUCGUUUAAAAUAUCGUAUUAAAAGUUAAAACGAUAUGCUUGUUAAAAGGAAUCGUUUUCUUCAAUUAACACACGAUCAGAUAAUCGCAUAAUAUGACAAAAGCAUUAUCUAGAAAGAUGUCAAUACCGGGUGAGUUAACUCAUAAUAAUAAAUUUACAGUACCUUUCAGAAAUAAACUUAAGUAGAUGAGCAAUUCAUAUAAUGCCGAGGAUAAUAUUUGUAGUUUUAGAAAAUUCAGUCCUAUUUUUUUAGAUUCUUAGUUUUAGAGAAAUGUUUUAGUCCUCUUGAACAAUUUUUUUUUCGAUAUUAGGAGAUCUAACUCUCUAACUAUAAACUAUCAUUGGUUAGUUUUUAAGAAAAAAAAUAGUAAUGCUAAAGUCAUUGUAUGCAUAGGGGUCACACACCUGACUUAUACCCCAGUUUCCUUAUCGGUGAAAAGCUUCAACGUGCAGCAUCGAUAGCAAACCAUCAACCACGAGUUCGUUUUCUGUGCUAUAAAUAAGUUUUAUGCUGUGGCUUACGAUUUCAUAACUCAUUGCAGCUUGGGAUUUUAUAGGUUUUGAAGCUUGUUUUAAAAAAAUAAUACAAUCGAAAUAACUACCUCUUGAGUUUUAAGCGAUAAAAGUGUUUAAAAAAACAUUUCAAAAAGUUAUUCCUUAAAAACUCCAAGAACGGGUGUUCAGGGGAUUUAGUGCAAUGUGAAGGCAAAGCUUGAUGGUUACAACGUGCUACCUCGUUAGGGGACUUCAAGCUAAAAACAAAAUACUAAUAAUAAAUACAAAUAAUAAAUUUUACCGAGGCUGAAAUCGAAAUUAAAGCAAAUCAUUGAGUCCUAUGAACGCCUUUUACAAGUCAUCAUUGUUCCAAACACAACUGAGAGCCGAUUAGUAUUCGACAUCUCAUGAAAUGUCUGAAAAGAGAAUGAAAUGUCUCAUGAAAUGUACAGAAUCUCACAGGAUGUUUUAUCGGUGUCUUAAGGAAAUAGUGAAAAUCAAUCUGUUGUUGUUGUGGCUUAUCCUCCAAAUGCCUGACGAAGUCAGACAAGGUCCAUCAGACCGUUGACCCUAAGAAAAUCGAGGACCAGAAGGGAAGAUGAGUAUAUACCUCCCGAUGGUGUUCCUGCCUUGUCGAGGCGGUGAGGCUUGUGCGUACCAAUGACCCGGAGGGCUAUGCCGGAUGUAGCUUGCUACUGGUAGGGUCUCCCAAGCCGGAUAGGCCAAAGGGUAGGUGCCAGACGAAAAAGAACACCAACACGAGCCGAGACUGACUUCUACCUAUAUGGUGCUCAGAUCCCCAGAUCAACAGAAGAUUUUUUUUAAAUUCACUUUCAUUUUUUUUUUAUAAAUCGUGGGCAGACUUUAUUAUUUUUUUUGGGAGAACCUGACAUUGAAUGAAUGGCGCCUCUGGCGCGGCUUAACAGCCCGUAAGUCGAUUGAAUCUAGACCUCUGGCGUGGCCUAAAAACCCGCAAGUCUGAAUGAAAGGGCAACCUCUGGCGUGGUCUAAUCACCCGCAAGUUUAAUGAUGUAUGUGUGUAGUGUGUGAAUGAAGUGUGAAUGAUAAUGUCAGGGGAUUCCAACUAAACCAUAAAUUAAUUGCAACUAAUUUUUUAAAAAAUUAAAUUUCAUUAUUAUUAAAUAAUUACAUAAAUUCCUUUUUCUUUCUUAAGAAUAAUAUAAUGAUAAAUUUAAACAAUCCUUUAUUUGAUUAGAAUUGUUACGAACGCAGAAUAUAUUAGUGUCUUCAAUAAUUUAUUUUAAAUUUACGAUUCUGAUUAUUAAAUAAAUCACACAAAUUACUAUGGUAAUUACAAUUAAUUCCUUAUUCAUAAUUACGAUUCUCACAAAUCAAUAUCGAAAAAAGAAAAAAAAAACUGCAGUUAGUACGAUUUCGGCAUGAAAAUUAUUUGCAUAUCUAGAUCUAGAAAAGAAAUAUCUAUAAUAUUAUACUGCUUUGUUCUCCAAAACUGUUAAAAAUGUAAAUUAAAGGAAUCUUCAAUUCAUCAUUUGUAAAGUUUUAA